rnacentral:rRNA from 1 species
UGGGUAAUCUUUUGAAACUUCAUCGUGAUGGGGAUAGAGCAUUGCAAUUAUUGCUCUUCAACGAGGAAUCCCUAGUAAGCGUGAGUCAUCAGCUCAUGCUGAUUACGUCCCUGCCCUUUGUACACACCGCCCGUCGCUACUACCGAUUGAAUGGCUUAGUGAGACCCUCGGAUCGAUGAAUGAAAACCUUUACGGGUAUCUAUUGGUUGAAAAGUUGGUCAAACUUGGUCAUUUAGAGGAAGUAAAAGUCGUAACAAGGUUUCCGUAGGUGAACCUGCGGAAGGAUCAUU